rnacentral:rRNA from 1 species
CCUACGGGUGGCAGCAGUGAGGAAUAUUGGUCAAUGGCCGGAAGGCUGAACCAGCCAAGUCGCGUGAGGGAAUAAGGCCCUAUGGGUCGUACACCUCUUUUGUCAGGGAGCAAAGGCGUCCACGUGUGGACGAGAGGAGAGUACCUGCAGAAAAAGCAUCGGCUAACUCCGUGCCAGCAGCCGCGGUAAUACGGAGGAUUCAAGCGUUAUCCGGAUUUAUUGGGUUUAAAGGGUGCGUAGGCGGGCGGAUAAGUUAGAGGUGAAAUCCCGAGGCUCAACGUCGGAAUUGCCUCUGAUACUGUUCGGCUAGAGAGUAGUUGCGGUAGGCGGAAUGUAUGGUGUAGCGGUGAAAUGCUUAGAGAUCAUACAGAACACCGAUUGCGAAGGCAGCUUACCAAGCUACUUCUGACGUUGAGGCACGAAAGCGUGGGGAGCAAACAGGAUUAGAUACCCCGGUAGUC